rnacentral:lncRNA from 1 species
GGUAAAGAAAAUACGAAAGAAAAAGAUCACAAGGGCUGCUCAUGUGGAGGGACUUGAUAAGCUGGAAUGUAAAAAGUCUGACUCAGAUUCAAAUUCAAAGUCAAGCGAUGAUUCUUCUUCCAAAUCUGAUUCUGAUUCUGAUUCUGAUAAGAAAUCUAAUCAUUCUGGUUUGAAAUCAGACUCGGAACCAAAAUCCAAUGAGGUAAUUAUAUUAUCUAAUUGAAAAAGCCCGGAUAUAAUAUAUAUCUACUUACACCAAGUAGCUUGACAUAGCAUUAUUAACUCUAUGAAAAAAAAAAAAAGGAACAAAAGCAUGAUUCACCUAUCGCUAUUUGUUACUCAUAAUACAUAAAAGUUCGUCUUAUAAAAGAAAAUCAAGUAAAAUUUUAUUAUGUGAAUAGUUUGUAUCUAUCUGUCUAAUAUUUCUAUAUCUGUCAUACAUAUCGAAGGAUUUAUAACUGUAAAAUAACAAGAAGUAGUUCAAUACGCAAAUUUCUUUUUUUUUAGCUGCAAUCUAGUGACGGCAAAGACUCCAAAAUACAGGUAAAGAAAAUACGAAAGAAAAAGAUCACAGGGGACGCUCAUGUGGAGGGACUUGAUAAGCUGGAAUGUAAAAAGUCUGACUCAGAUUCAAAUUCAAAAUCGAGCGAUGAUUCUUCUUCCAAAUCUGAUUCCGGUUCUGAUUCUGAUAAGAAAUCUAAUCAUUCUGGUUUGAAAUCCGACUCGGAAUCAAAAUCUAAUGAGG